AACGAACGCUGGCGGCAUGCCUAACGCAUGCAAGUCGAACGAGACCUUCGGGUCUAGUGGCGCACGGGUGCGUAACGCGUGGGAACCUGCCCUUAGGUUCGGAAUAACUCCCCGAAAGGGGUGCUAAUACCGGAUAAUGUCUUCGGACCAAAGAUUUAUCGCCUUUGGAUGUGCCCGCGUUGGAUUAGCUAGUUGGUAGGGUAAAAGCCUACCAAGGCGACGAUCCAUAGCUGGUCUGAGAGGAUGAUCAGCCACACUGGGACUGGGACACGGCCCAGACUCCUACGGGAGGCAGCAGUGGGGAAUAUUGGACAAUGGGCGAAAGCCUGAUCCAGCAAUGCCGCGUGAGUGAUGAAGGCCUUAGGGUUGUAAAGCUCUUUUACCCGGGAUGAUAAUGACAGUACCGGGAGAAUAAGCUCCGGCUAACUCCGUG
rnacentral:rRNA from 1 species